CUCCCUUGCUACCUGGGCAGAGGCGCGUCUGGUUGGUGGCGCAGCUCUUAAAUCUAGCAGGGGCAGAGUGACGUGCCCCUAUUCAUCCCAGCACAGUUGCCUUGGCAGUGGCUGUCGCUGGUUCAUGCUGGGGGCACAAGG